AAUGUCAAUUGGCCAACAUCAUUUUCUGAUACAGAAGUAGGUAACCAGGACCAUCACCCAGCGCCUCGUUGAUCUAGUUUACCAAUCAUAGUUAGUUGGUUUUGGCCGUUGAGGAGAUUGUGGCCAUUUGCAAGGAAGGCUUGGAAUCAUUCUCCAAGUGUGACUGUAUCCUCAAGUCCGAAGAUGAUGCCUUGUUCUUACUCUAGCUAUGUUUCUUUGUUAUAGUCUAAAGAUGAUCAUUUCAUUCUACUUGUUUCAAGAUAUUGUUGUAAGCCCUAAGUGGCAUUUAUACAUCGUGCAAGGGCUUAUGCCCAUAUUGUUCAA